UACGGAGGGGGCGAGCGUUAUUCGGAAUUAUUGGGCGUAAAGGGCGCGUAGGCGGCUGGGCACGUCAAAGGUGAAAUCCCUCGGCUCAACUGAGGAACUGCCUUUGAAACUGCCUGGCUUGAGGCCGGGAGGGGGUAGCGGAAUUCCCAGUGUAGCGGUGAAAUGCGUAGAUAUUGGGAGGAACACCAGUGGCGAAGGCGGCUACCUGGACCGGUUCUGACGCUGAUGCGCGAAAGCGUGGGUAGCAAACAGG
rnacentral:rRNA from 1 species